CUGCACAGCAUCCCUUCCACUAUAUUCUCUUGGUUAAACAGUGACUACCCAGAGUCAAGGAGAGGAGACAGAAUCCAGCUCUCCAUACAAGGAGCAUCAACGAAUUUGGGGACCAGGUUUUAAAACUGAUACACUUAUUUAAAAUGCAAAUACUUGGGUUUUACACCUUAGACCUAUCUAUUUAACAUAAAAGUUUCAUCUUCCCUAUAUUUAAUUGCUUUAGCCAAGAGUGUCUUGUGAUAUCCCACAAUCACCAUGUUCUGUUUGAGGGGAGGGUAUAGUGCCAAGUAGUUUAUUCUGAACUUGAAUUCCUCCCACACUACGUACAGAGCAGAGCACAGGAAAACGUGGAAGACACUGAGCAA
rnacentral:lncRNA from 1 species